UAUUGCCAAUGCAAUUGGAGAAUUGUAUUUUAGUUAUUUCAUCUCACAUAUUCAAGGCCGUAUAAACUUCGGUUGUAUUCAUGUUCAUAUGUAGUGGGCCAGUCUGGGCCAAAAUGCCCGGGCCACUUUUUUGUCCCAGUCCAGCCCUGCUCGCAAUAAUCACAACAUGCUUUACGGCAACGACGUCACACAUCAACAAUAACAUAUGAAGCAUGAAGACACUUGUGCGAAUUUCAGACUUGAUACUCGAUGAUGGAAAAAGCAAAAUAAACGCGGUCGGAAGAGACUAGGAAAAGGAAAAGAUAUUUUGGGUGCGUGAGGAACCAGUCCCACUCGGUCAGGCUUUUCCAUAGAUGGGGCUUUUCACACGUUGGUGCGAGCUAAAAAGCAGCAUUGGAUUCAACAGUGAUGCUGACUUGCUGGCGAUGUUGUUGAUGGACUAAUGGGGAUGCAAGCAUGAAGAGUUGGCGCGAGAAUACUACGAAAUGCAACAUCGCCUCUCACACUCAGAUGUUCUGCUAGAAACAGAUGGAUUCCGGAUUUUUAGUCUCGCAUCCUUUUAUUGGGGCCUCACCUGAUGGAUAUGUUUCCUGCAGCUGUUGUGGUUCAGGGGUCAUAGAAAUGAAGUGCCCAUUUUGUACCAAGGACCUCUCUGUAAACGAGGCAGCAAACUCAGUUCCAAACUUUUGCCUUGAAAAGAAUGAGUGUGGAAGCAUCAGACUGAAGCGGGACCAUGCCUAUUAUUAUCAAGUAAAAAUGCAGUUAUUUGUUACUGACAAAACUUAUUGCGAUUUUAUACUUUGGACUGAAAGGGACAGUGCUUCACCUUUUGUGGAACGAGUGAAACCAGAUGUGUCAUUUUUUGAAAAAGAAUUGGCUUGUGCUACAAACUUUUUUAAGAAAUGCAUCAUGCCAGAGCUGAUAGGCAAGUAUUUCUCUGCUCCAAAGCCAGCUGCAGCAUUUGAUGCUGGUCAACAGUGGUGCUACUGUCGUGAGCCUGAAGUAGGGGACAUGUUGGUCUGUGCAUCAGGUUUUUGUUCAGUUAAAAAGUUUCACCAAUCUUGCCUUCGCAUUAAAAGAAUUCCUAAACAGUGGGUAUGUCCCAGCUGCAA